rnacentral:lncRNA from 1 species
GCAAAAGUGAUGAUCCUUGGAUUACAACAUGGUAGGCUACUUCCCUUUAGCGUUGGCCAAGCCAUUUCUGCAACACUGUCUUGGAGAACAGAUCAAAUCUGAAAACUUCUUGGCAACAUUUUUGGAGUCUAUACCAAGUGAGGAAACGGUCAUCGUCAAACAGUCAAUCCAAGAUUGCUCGUCAGUUGCUGGGAGCACAUGAUGUCAAGAUUCUGAUCAAUGAGAUGAACUGGCAGAAGAUGCUACUUGAAGUCACCCACAAAGAAAUCAUAUCCUGCCUACAUUGCUGAGUCCUGGAACAGCGUACUGAAAAGGUUGAAACUGCAUCUUGGGGGUUUUGACUUGGUUCUCGGGAGCCUCACACCAACAUUCAAGAGUUGCUGCAGCUGUUAAACAUGAUACCUUCUCAAGAGGGAACAAACGGUCAUGGACUUUUUAAAUAAGUACAUCCAUAACUGCUCAACCAACUGCCUAAGACAUUUCUCAGAUUUUGCACAGGUAAUUUCAAUGUUGAACAAUGAUAAUUAAGUAGCUCACCAGCUAGCGUGUGUUUUGUUUGAUAUUGCUUCUAUGGACGUUAAAUGCAAAUGUAAUUUACUGUUUCUCUGUUCUGUCUUACUUUCUUAUACAGGUGCAGAUGUACUUGUGUCUUCAGCCAUUCACGUCUACUUUGUUGAGCCCAAGAGUGACUUUGUGAGAAGCCCCAAUCACACACCCGCAGAUGUGUUUUGGAGAUCCCCCAACACCUACACAUCAUACCUUGAGAUGCCAGAGGAAUUCACCCAGGUCCUGGAUUCCAAAGUCCGCGGUUCCUCAGUGCGCACUCGCCCCACUCAGGAGUAGCCUACUUUGUAAAAACUUCAUGUGUUUGAGUCCAAAGUUUGUUCAUGUGUUUACAUGUUCAUGAAAUAAAAGGAUCAUUGAUAACAAAAGUCAACACUGCUUAUAUUUUGUCUGAAAAUAAAUGUAAAAGUAUACUGUUACUUAAAGGCACAAUUCCUAUCCAUUGAUUCUCAAAUAAUAUGACUGGUAAAUAGCUAGUAUAUUUUUGUGGAGCGAUGGGUAACGAGGCUUCGAGGGGUGACUGUUGUUGAUGUGUGCAGAGGGUCCCUGGUUCGCGCCCGGGUAUGGGCGAGGGGACGGUCUAAAGUUAUACUGUUACAUUGAUGCUGUUGACCCAGAUCACUGGUGGCUGCGGAAAAGGAGGAAGGUCAAAAGGGGGGUGAGUGUAACGGAUGUGAAACGGCUAGCUUAGUUAGCGGUGCGCGCGUUUCAAUCGGUGACGUCACUUGCUCUGAGACCUUGAAGUAGUAGUUCCCCUUGCUCUGCAAGGGCCGCGGCUUUUGUGGAGCGAUGGGUGACUGUUGUCGAUGUGUGCAGAGGGUUCCUGGUUCGCCCCCGGGUAUGGGCGAGGGGACGGUCUAAAGUUAUACUGUUACAUAUGCAUCUGCAGGAACAGCUAGAUUGUUCUCUGCCAUGAUGUAAGAGCACAAGGUAUACACAUCCUCACCACAAGCUAUGUCAGUCAUGACGGUGGACACGAUGGUCCUCACAGCUGGUUAUGUCCUCUUGUGACACACCACACAGUGUAUGUCAUACAACUCUGGAACUGUGUACGUGACGUCAGGCUGAAAAUGGGGGGACAUUCUCAUUCUUUGACGGGUGGAUCAGGUGUUCCAGGUGUCCUUUGUAGUGUCCAAUUCAUCCUAUAGAGGUGGAAAUAUUGUUGUUGUUAUUAAGGUAUCAUGAACAUAACAAGCCCUACAAGUGCCAAAAUAAGGAAAAAAUAUAGGUAUUUUACCAUCAUUUGUGACUACCAGUAGCCUAUCCUAUAUGUUUUUCAAAGCCCUUGUCGAAUUUGGGGCUCAGAAGUUUGUAUUAGGCUUAGUGGCCUGCCAUGGGAGAAGCCCCAUGAACUCCAAGAUGUGCCCAUUAAAACAGCAGACACGUAUUGAUUCAGGACCAUGAACAGUGGCACAAAUCAGCACCAAAUAAACAUAAGAGCGAUACCUCUGAGAUUUCAGCACCACCAGUUGCUGGACAGCAACGCUAAAAAAUAUAAUUUUAAUGGUUGUGAACACAUAAUUGCAAAUGUUAUCGCAGGUGCAGAAAAAAGCUUGUUUCUAGCUCCAAUGGCGCAGUAAUGCAUAGCAAUACACACAUCCUAAAAAUAAAUAAAUUAAAGGGGCACCAGGGGCAGCACGGCCGCUCAACUCAGAGCUCAUGACAAAAUUCAAAACCUGUGGCUCGUUGGGAUUGGCAUUGCUAGUGUGUUGGUAGGUGAAAGGCCUCAUAGGAGAGAGACUGCUAUGUUUACAAUGACAUUGUUCCGAUUCCACUGAACUUUAGAAUUGUAAAAUAGUGAAUACACGUAAAGAUUAUUGCAACUAAUGCUCCAGAUCUUUUGGUUUCCACUACAGGCCAUAGAGAAUACACUGAUCGUCUGGCCCAGGAGUGUGAAGGUGAACGGAAAGGCUCUGGAGCAACGAACCGCCCUUGCUGUCUCUGCCUGGCCGGUUCCCCUCUCUCCACUGGGAUUCUCUGCCUCUAACCCUAUUACAGGGGCUGAGUCACUGGCUUACUGGUGCUCUUCCAUGCCGUCCCUAGGAGGGGUGCGUCACUUGAGUGGGUUGAGUCACUGAUGUGAUCUUCCUGUCUGGGUUGGCGCUCCCCCUCCCUUGGGUUGUGCCGUGGCUGAGAUCUUUGUGGGCUAUACUCGGCCUUGUCUCAGGAUGGUAAGUUGGUGGUUGAAGAUAUCCCUCUAGUGGUGUGGUGGCUGUGCUUUGGCAAAGUGGGUGGGGUUAUAUCCUGCCUGUUUGGCCAUGUCUGGGGUAUGAUCGGAUGGGGCCACAGUGUCUCCUGACCCCUCCUGUCUCAGCCUCCAGUAUUUAUGCUGCAGUAGUUUAUGUGUCGGGAGGCUAGGGUCAGUCUGUUAUAUCUGGAGUACUUCGCCUGUCUUAUCCGGUGUCCUGUGUGAAUUUAAGUAUGCUCUCUCUAAUUCUCUUUUUCUUUCUUUCUCUCGGAGGACCUGAGCCCUAGGACCAUGCCUCAGGACUACCUGGCAUGAUGACUCCUUGCUGUCCCCAGUCCACCUGGCCGUGCUGCUGCUCCAGUUUCAACUGUUCUGCCUGCGGCUAUGGAAUCCUGACCUGUUCACCGGACGUGCUACCUGUCCCAGACCUGCUGUUUUCAAAUCUCUAGAGACAGCAGGAGCAGUAGCGAUACUCUUAAUGAUCGGCUAUGAAAAGCCAACUGACAUUUACUCCUGAGGUGCUGACUUGUUGCACCCUCGACAACUACUGUGAUUAUUAUUAUUUGACCAUGCUGGUCAUUUAUGAACAUUUGAACAUCUUGGCCAUGUUCUGUUAUAAUCUCCACCCGGGGGACUAGCCACCCCUCAUAGCCUGGUUCCUCUCUAGGUUUCUUCCUAGGAUUCUAGGGAGUUUUUCCAGGCCACCGUGCUUCUACACCUGCAUUGCUUGCUGUUUGAGGUUUUAGGCUGGGUUUCUGUACAGCACUUUGAGAUAUCAGCUGAUGUAAGGGGGGGGGGGGGGGGGGGGGGGGGGGGGUCUAUUGAUUGGAGUUGGACGCUUGUCUGCUCCUAACAGCAUGCAAUUCACUUGCAAUUAGAUAUGAAAUCAUAGGAAAAUAAAACAUAUUAAGAGUUUCAUUCUGUCCUUGUUUUCGGAAACACUACAAAAUAUGCUUGUAAUUGCAUUAUUGGUGAGGUACAUGGAUAAGGAAGAAGAACGUUUAUAGGUAAGUGCAGUACAGUGUGGCAGGUAAGCCCAUUAAGCAGAACAGCAUAAGGUUCUUGUCCAAGAAGUCUGUCGAAAUCACCUGAAUCUUAGAGUCUAUGUGGGUGCUCAAGCCAAAAAUCAACAUACUUUAGGCAGAAACCCCCUCCAGCUUUCAAUUCUCUGAUUGCUGGUGGUUCGACCGUAUAAGAAGCUUCUCUCGCCCCCAAUGGCAUCAUCAUUCUGUCGUAGGUACCAUUGCAUGUCCCAGACACGACUGUUCUCCGUCCCCAUGUCUGCUCCUACAAUGCGGGCGCAGCCCCCCACUUCCCCAACCGUAUCAAGGAAAUGGCCACCAAU